rnacentral:rRNA from 1 species
GAAUNUGCCCUUAGGAAGAGGAUAACAGCUGGAAACGGUUGCUAAUACUCUAUACGCCGAGAGGUAAAAGGAUUUAUCCACCUUAGGAAGAGCUCGCGUCUGAUUAGCUUGUUGGUAAGGUAACGGCUUACCAAGGCGACGAUCCGUAGCUGGUUUGAGAGGACGACCAGCCACACUGGGACUGAGACACGGCCCAGACUCCUACGGGAGGCAGCAGUGGGGAAUUUUCCGCAAUGGGCGAAAGCCUGACGGAGCAAUACCGCGUGAGGGAUGAAAGCCUGUGGGUUGUAAACCUCUUUUCUCAAGGAAGAAAUUCUGACGGUACUUGAGGAAUAAGCAUCGGCUAACUCUGUGCCAGCAGCCGCGGUAAUACAGAGGAUGCAAGCGUUAUCCGGAAUCACUGGGCAUAAAGCGUCUGUAGGUCGCUUGCCAAGUCUGCUGUUAAAGAUCAGGGCCUAACCCUGGGAAAGCAGUGGAAACUAGCAAGCUUGAGUGUGGUAGAGGUAGAGGGAAUUCCUGGUGUAGCGGUGAAAUGCGUAGAUAUUAGGAAGAACACCAAUGGCGAAAGCACUCUACUGGGCCAUAACUGNNNNNNAGAGACGACAGCUAGGGGAGCA